rnacentral:rRNA from 1 species
UACGAAGGGUGCAAACGUUGCUCGGAAUUAUUGGGCGUAAAGCGCACGUAGGCGGCUUAGCAAGUCGGAAGUGAAAUCCCUCGGCUCAACCAAGGAAGUGCUUUCGAAACUGCUGAGCUUGAGUACGAAAGAGGAUCGCGGAAUUCCCGGUGUAGAGGUGAAAUUCGUAGAUAUCGGGAGGAACACCAGUGGCGAAGGCGACUUCCUGGCCUGUUCUUGAUGCUGAGGCGGCGAAAGCUAGGGUAGCAAACGGG